AUUGAACGCUGGCGGCAGGCUUAACACAUGCAAGUAGAGCGAGCGGCGGACGGGGGAGGAAUGUCUGGGAAACUGACUGAUGGAGGGGGAUAACUACUGGAAACGGUAGCUAAUACCGCAUACCAUCAGAUGUGCCCAGAUGGGUUUAGCUAGUAGGUGGGGUAAUGGCUCACCUAGGCGACGAUCCCUAGCUGGUUGGAGAGGAUGACCAGCCACCCUGGAACGGAGCCACUGUCCCGACUCCUACGGGGGGCAGCAGUGGGGAAUAUUGCACAAUGUGCGCUAGCCUGAUGCAGCCAUACCUCUUGUGUGAAGAAGGCCUUCGGGUUGUAAAGCACUUUCAGCGAGGACGCGGUACACGGAGAAGAAGCACCGGCUAAUUCCGUGUCAGCAGCCGCGGUAAUAC
rnacentral:rRNA from 1 species